GACUUCCAGAUCUUCAACAAAAAUCAAGCAUGAAAGAUUCCCAACCAUAGGAGGGCACUUCUCAAACUUUUACACGGGCAAGGACUUCAGAUUCAUGUGGAACUGGAACCUGGAUGACACAGUUUUUCCAUUACACAGCACAGGUCAUUUAGAGGUGUGAGCAGCUAAGGAUGAAGGUAACAGGUGAUAGGUGCAGGAACAAGUGUGAAGAGGACUGAGAGCAG